rnacentral:ncRNA from 1 species
GAAAGACCGGAAUAUUCCGGUUGGGUUAGAAAUAACCCCAAUCAAUUAGU